UGUUUGUUUUUUUUUCUAUAUUUAUUAAAAGAAGGUCAUGUGUUCACACAAAAAAAAAAAGUUCGAACUCAAACUUAAAGAUUUUGUCCUUAAUUUUUGGAUUUUGGUAAUAAUUUCGAGUCAAAGAUAUGCAACUUAUUAACAAGGAUUGCGCCCUAGCAUAAAAUAAGUAGUGUGGAUAUAAACCAAGUACACGACGUUUUAAAAUAAAAAAUGCAUGAAUCCUUAAAACAAAGAAAUUAAUACUAAAAUCAAGUAUUUUUUUGCAGACUUGAAUUAACGAUGUUAGCCCCUCAAUGCAAUACAAAAAUAGAAAUUGAUUAAAAACUGCUGCAUCUUAAUAAAAGGAAAUUGUAUUUUGAAGUAUGCUGUGAUAAAUGCUCUAAUUUUAUUUUAUUGCGCUAAUUAAUUUUAGGUUAGGUUAGGUUGAAAAGAGGGUGCAGAUAUUAAUCCGCCCCAUGCCACUAUGGACAUACAACUAAGCCAGUAAUCGGCUUGUUGUGCGCUCUAAAAGAAAAAUUUGGUUGAUGACUUUUAUUGUGUCUCCACCUAAGUGCCGGUAUCUGUUAGACGUGAAAGUCGGGCAAUAGCAAAGGAAAUGCUCCACCGUCUCAUUAUCUUCCCCGCACCGAUUUUACAUAAUAAUAACCUCGUCUUCUCACGAUCUAGAUCCACCCAUAGGAUUAGG